CAGGGUGUAGCUUAGUCUGGCUAAAGCGUACGGCUGGGGGCCGUGAGAUCGGAGGUUCAAAUCCUCUCACCCUGACCA
rnacentral:tRNA from 1 species